rnacentral:rRNA from 1 species
ACCAGCAGCCAUAUCACCCUGUAGCCCAAGACUGGUUGCCCACUGAAGCUAAGCAGGGUUGAGCCUGGUCAGUACCUGGAUGGGAGACCUCUUGGGAAAACUAGGUUGCUGCUGGAA